rfam:Aedes albopictus isolate Foshan contig67886, whole genome shotgun sequence.
AGACAGCCUAGUGGUCAAGGCUAUGGAUCGACAAUCCGGAGUCGGCGGGUUCGAUCCCCGUUCU